AUGAGGCUGCUGGAGAGAAUGAGGAAAGAAUGGUUCAUGAUUGGAAUAGUACUGGCGAUCGCGGGAGCAAAGCUGGAGCCGUCCAUAGGGGUGAAUGGGGGACCACUGAAACCAGAAAUAACUGUCUCCUACAUUGCUGUCGCAACAAUAUUCUUUAACAGCGGACUAUCAUUAAAAACAGAGUUUCUUGUUUAA
rnacentral:lncRNA from 1 species